rnacentral:rRNA from 1 species
UGGGGGAUAUUGCACAAUGGGCGAAAGCCUGAUGCAGCGACGCCGCGUGGGGGAUGAAGGCUUUCGGGUUGUAAACCUCUUUCGCUAUCGAACAAGGCCCGCUUAGGGUGGGUUGAGGGUAGGUGGAGAAGAAGCGCCGGCUAACUACGUGCCAGCAGCCGCGGUAAUACGUAGGGCGCGAGCGUUGUCCGGAAUUAUUGGGCGUAAAGGGCUUGUAGGCGGCUUGUUGCGCCUGCUGUGAAAACGCGGGGCUUAACUUCGCGCGUGCAGUGGGUACGGGCAGGCUUGAGUGUGGUAGGGGUGACUGGAAUUCCAGGUGUAGCGGAGGAAUGCGAAGAUAUCUGGAGGAACACCGAUGGCGAAGGCAGGUCACUGGGCCAUUACUGACGCUGAGGAGCGAAAGCAUGGGUAGCGAACAGG